rnacentral:misc_RNA from 1 species
GAUGAAGAACGUAGUGAAAUGCGAUACUUGGUGUGAAUUGCAGAAUCCCGUGAACCAUCGAGUCUUUGAACGCAAGUUGCGCCCGAAGCCAUUAGGCCGAGGGCACGCCUGCCUGGGCGUCACACGUCGUUGCCCCCCAUCUACUCCUUCGGGAUUGCGGGGGGCGGAUGAUGGCCUCCCGUGCGCCUCGUCGCGCGGUUGGCAUAAAUGCCAAGUCCUCGGCGACGCACGCCACGACAAUCGGUGGUUGCGAAACCUCGGUUGCCCGUCGUGUGCGGUCGUCGCGCAUCGAGGGCUCGAAAAAAUUGCCGGGCUCCGGCUCGACUUUCAACGCGACCCCAGGUCAGGCGGGGUUACCCGCUGAAUUUAAGCAUAUCAAUAAGCGGAGGA